rnacentral:misc_RNA from 1 species
GAGAGCAAUCAGUUCAAAUUUGGAUUUUCAUUUGUUAGGGUUAGGGUUUUAAGAUGGGAACGGAUUCUCGUUUCUCUGGAACCUCUGGUUUCAAAUUUGAGAAUGAGAUUGUUUUCCCUGAUCNNNCAAACUCUACAAACAGGUUCAAAUUCAACGACCUCUCUUUUGAUAUGGACUUCGACCCUGUAGACAGGUCACUUAGUUUGCCUGACCUAGAUCCCAGCA